rnacentral:lncRNA from 1 species
GGCCCGGCUCUUCCCCGCUGCAAAUGGUGCAAACUUGUGUGGCUCCAGCCAGGUGUGGAGUCUAAGAAGUCCAAGGUUGAGGAGCUGCAUCUGAUGAGAGCCUUCUUGCUGGUUGGGAUCCUCUGCAGAGUCUUGAGUUGGGCAUUAAAAACUGUAUCACAGACACAUGAAUAUUGUAGGCCUCAUCUCCAAGUAUUACCACACUGAGGGUCAAGACUUCAACAUAUGGUGGAGAGCAGGAGGUAUUGUGUACUUUUCAAAAUAAGAUCUCCGACAUAGCUGUUUAUCUGGAGUCCCGUGUUUAAUCCUGACAAGAAUGUUGUGGAUGUUGGCUGAAGAAAGUUCUGGAGACUGGAAAAUCCAAAACCACGGCACCAGCAUCUGGUGAAGAUCUUUUCAUGGCAAGAGAGAAAACACAUGCAUGUCAGCUCAAAUCUCUUUCUCUUUUAAUAAUGUUGCUAGUCCCAUCAUGGAGGCCCCAGCCUUAUGACCUUAUCUAAUGCUAAUUACAUCCAAAAGGCUCCACCUCCAAUCAACAUAUGAAUUUGGAAAUUAGGUUUCCAAUACGUGAAAUUUGGGAAAUGUAUUUAAACCACAAACAGCCAGUUUAAAAGAUUUUGCAUUGAAUAAUAAAAGUGAACCAACAAAUGUAU